GACAUUUUUGAGGAGGAGCGGAAGUGAACCCUGGAACCCCAAAGAACUUCUGAUUUCCCAAAGAAACAUCACAGCGGGCUGCAUUGCCUGCAUGGAAAGUAACAUUAGCAGCAGGAGGAGGCGGCUCCAGGAUGAUGUGUAGCACAGGGUGUUGUGUUCGAGAUGAUUCAAGACCAAGACCG